GAUGAACGCUGGCGGUAUGCUUAACACAUGCAAGUCGAACGGACUCUUCGGAGUUAGUGGCGGACGGGUGAGUAACGCGUGAGAAUCUGGCUUUGGGUUCGGGACAACCACUGGAAGCGGUGGCUAAUACCGGAUGUGCCGAGAGGUAAAAGAGAAAUUGCCUGAAGAUGAGCUCGCGUCUGAUUAGCUAGUUGGUGAGGUAAAGGCUCACCAAGGCAGCGAUCAGUAGCUGGUCUGAGAGGAUGACCAGCCACACUGGGACUGAGACACGGCCCAGACUCCUACGGGAGGCAGCAGGGGGGAAUUUUCCGCAAUGGGCGAAAGCCUGACGGAGCAAUACCGCGUGAGGGAAGAAGGCUCUUGGGUUGUAAACCUCUUUUCUUAGGGAAGAACAAAAUGACGGUACCUAAGGAAUCAGCAUCGGCUAACUCCGUG
rnacentral:rRNA from 1 species